GAAGCUGACUAGACAGUCGCCGCCCAGCAAUGGGGGGAGGGAAGUCCGGGCUACACAGAGCAGGAUGACGGCUAACGGCCGUACGCUGAAAGUGCUUAGGCAUAUAAGGCGAGGAAUAGGGCCACAGAGACGAGUCGCAUUAAUCUGCUUGCAGAUUAAUCGGGUGAAACGCGGUAACCUCCAUCUGUAGCAAGACCAAAUAGGCUGGCGAUAGCGUGGCUCGCGCUGUCAGCGGGUAGGUCGCUUGAGUUUGUGAGUAAUUGCAAACCUAGAGGAAUGACUGUCACUCAUGCAAAUGAGAACAGAACCCGGCUUAUCGGUCAGCUUCCAUU
rnacentral:RNase_P_RNA from 1 species